rnacentral:rRNA from 1 species
GGUUUGAUUCUGGCUCAGAUUGAACGCUGGCGGGAUGUGCUUUACACAUGCAGUCGAACAGCAGCACGGACUUCGGUCUGGUGGCGAGUGGCGAACAGGUGAGUAAUGUAUCGGAACGUGCCUAGUAGCGGGGGAUAACUACGCGAAAGCGUAGCUAAUGCCGCAUACGCCCUUCGGGGAAAAGCGGGGGACCUUCGGGCCUCGCACUAUUAGAGCGGCCGAUAUCAGAUUAGCUAGUUAAUUGGGGUAACGGCUCACCAAGGCGACGAUCCGUAGCUGGUUUGAAGGUUUGACCAGCCACACUGGGACUGAGACACGGCCCAGACUCCUGCAGGGAGGCAGCAGUGAGGAAUUUUGGACAAUGGGGGAAACCCUGAUCCAGCCAUCCCGCGUGUGCGAUGAAGGCCUUCUGGUUGUAAAGCACUUUUGGCAGGAAAAACGGCACGGGAUAAUACCCGUGCAGCUGACAGUACCUGCAGAAUAAGCACCGGCUAACUACGUGCCAGCAGCCGCAGUAAUACGUAGGGUGCAAGCGUUAAUCGGAAUUACUGGGCGUAAAGCGUGCGCAGGCGGUUCGGAAAGAAAGAUGCAAAUCAGAGCUUAACUUUGAACUGCAUUUUUUAACUACAGGCUAGAGUGUGUCGAGAGGAGGUGGAGAUUCCGCGUGUAGCGAUGAAAUGCGCUUAGAUAUGCGGAGGAACACCGAUGGCGAAGAGAACCUCUGGGGAUAACACGACGCUUCAUGCACGAAAGCGUGGGAAGCAAACAGGAUUAGAUACCCUGGUAGUCCACGCCCUAAACGAUGUCAACUAGCUGUUGGGGCCUUCGGGCCCUUGGUAGCGCAGCUAACGCGUGAAGUUGACCGCAUGGGAGAGGUACGGUCGCAAGAUUAAAACUCAAAGGAAUUGACGGGGACCCGCACAAGCGGUGGAUGAUGUGGAUUAAUUCGAUGCAACACCCGAAAAAACCUUACCACCCUUGACAUGUCUGGAAUCGAAGAGAUUUGGGAGUGCUCGCAAGAGAACCGGAACACAGGUGCUGCAUGGCUGUCGUCAGCUCGUGUCUCGUGAGAUGUUGGGUUAAGUCCACUAACAAACUGUCCCCUUGUCGUGGAAUUUUUACGAAGGGCACUCUAAUGAGACUGCCGGUAAACCAGAGGAAGGUGGGGAUGACGUCAAGUCCCUCGCAGCCCUUAUGGGUAGGGCUUCACGUCUGCAAUGGUCGCGGGACAGAGAAGUCGCCAACCCGCGAGAGACCAAUCCCAGAAACCCGAUCGUAGUCGGAUCACAGUCUGCAGCUCGGCUGCGUGAAGUCGGAAUCGCUAGUAAUCGCGGAUCAGCAUGUCGCAAUUGAAUACAUUCCCGGGUCUUCCCACAUGCCGUCACACCAUGGGAGUGGGUUUUACCAGAAGUGAUUAGCCUAACCGUAAGGAGGGCGAUUGCGGUAAGUUUAUGACUGGGGUGAAGUCAUGCUGAGUAACUCUAUUUACUACAGUAU